rnacentral:rRNA from 1 species
AUGGCGUAUCCCUUAAUGCCGCAGGGCGCGACGGCGUUGGAGAUCCCCACCGACCGGCCGGCCUUCUACGAGUGUUUCAAGUCCUUUGGCGUCCCCGCGGCCGCGACCGCGUUCCGCCUGGUGACUCCGCCGACGGAGACAAACGCGUCGCGCCCAGAACGCAUCACCAUCUACAAGCCUCCUCCCCCUCCCGGGAUGGUCUACUUCGCCAAGCGCUUCGCGUACGCCUACAUCACCCCGGCGACGGCCCCGUGCCGCGCCGACCCGGGCGCCUUCAUCCGCCGGGUCUUCCGCACCCUGGCGCUCGACCUGCCGCAGAGCCUCGAGCUCCUGCCCCCCGGCCACGGCGCCGACGCGACGGUGCGCUUCCGCACGCCCGACGACCGGGAGGCGGCCAUGCGCCGGCAGCCGUUCGAGCUCGACGGCGCCACCGUGAAGCUGGUGCGCGAGGGGGAGACCAGCAACUGCUCCCGCGCCAGGAACGACUACGUCGCCCACGUCGCGCUGCACGACUACCCCCGUCGAGCAGCGCACCCAGAAGGAGAUCGGCGCCAACUGCGGCAGCUCGAGGACCCCCGAGAGAUCCCCCGCCACGUCCGGAUCAGGUACCAUGGUGGCUCCACCAGCGUCGUCCCCGUCGAGAUCGUCAGGCUUUGGGACCACGCACACUCCUCCGACGCCCAUGGACAAGACAAAGCCAUCGGGCACCACCGCCCCCUGUGCAGCCACCCUUGCUCGGCGUGGUGGCGCGGCGACCCAACCUCCCCCUUGCCGUCCACAAUCAUACCGGUGAACCGGCAGUCAAACCGGUAA